AGUGAACGCUGGCGGUAGGCCUAACACAUGCAAGUCGAACGGCAGCACAGUAAGAGCUUGCUCUUACGGGUGGCGAGUCGCGGACGGGUGAGGAAUACAUCGUAAUCUACUUUUUCGUGGGGGAUAACGUAGCGAAACUUACGCUAAUACCGCAUACGACCUACGGGUGAAAGCAUGGGAUCUUCGGGCCUUGCGCGAUUGAAUGAGCCGAUGUCGGAUUGGCUGGUUGGCGGGGUAAAGGCCCAGCAUGGCGACGAUCCGUAGCUGGUCUGAGAGGAGGGUAAGCGACACUGGAGCUGAAACACGGUCCAGACUCCUACGGGAGGGCGCAGUGGGGAAUAUUGGACAAUGGGGGGGAGCAUGGUCCAGCCAUACCGCGUGGGUGAAGGAGGCCUUCGGGUUGUAAAGCCCUUUUGUUGGGAAAGAAAAGCAGCAGGUUAAUACCCCGCUGUUGUGACGGUACCCAAAGAAUAAGCACCGGCUAACUUCGUG
rnacentral:rRNA from 1 species